rnacentral:rRNA from 1 species
UACAGAGGGUGCAAGCGUUAAUCGGAGUUACUGGGCGUAAAGGGCGCGUAGGCGGUCAUGUAAGUGAGAUGUGAAAUCCCCGGGCUCAACCUGGGAACUGCAUUUGUGACUGCAUAGCUAGAGUACGGUAGAGGGGGAUGGAAUUCCGCGUGUAGCAGUGAAAUGCGUAGAUAUGCGGAGGAACACCGAUGGCGAAGGCAAUCCCCUGGACCUGUACUGACGCUCAUGCACGAAAGCGUGGGGAGCAAACAGG